GCACCAGUGGUCUAGUAGCAGAAUAAUACUCUGCCUGCCACGGUACAGACCCAAGUUCGAUUCCUGGCUGGUGCA
rnacentral:tRNA from 1 species